UACGGAGGGAGCUAGCGUUGUUCGGAAAUACUGGGCGUAAAGCGCACGUAGGCGGCGCAGCAAGUCAGGGGUGAAAUCCCGGGGCUCAACCCCGGAACUGCCUCUGAAACUGCAGUGCUAGAAUCUUGGAGAGGCAAGUGGAAUUCCGAGUGUAGAGGUGAAAUUCGUAGAUAUUCGGAAGAACACCAGUGGCGAAGGCGACUCGCUGGACAAGUAUUGACGCUGAGGUGCGAAAGCGUGGGGAGCGAACAGG
rnacentral:rRNA from 1 species